UACGUAGGGUGCGAGCGUUGCCCGGAUUUAUUGGGCGUAAAGGGCGCGUAGGCGGCCACGCACGUCCGUUGUGAAAUCGCCCGGCUCAACUGGGCGGGGUCAGCGGAUACGGUGUGGCUCGAGCAAGCUAGGGGGCAAUGGAAUUCCCGGUGUAGUGGUGGAAUGCGUAGAUAUCAGGAGGAACACCGAUGGCGAAGGCAGGUCUCUGGGCCACUACUGACGCUGAGAAGCGAAAGCAUGGGGAGCGAACAGG
rnacentral:rRNA from 1 species